AGUGAACGCUGGCGGUAGGCCUAACACAUGCGAGUCGAACGGCAGCACAGUAAGAGCUUGCUCUUACGGGUGGCGAGUGGCGGACGGGUGAGGAAUACAUCGGAAUCUACUUUUUCGUGGGGGAUAACGUAGGGAAACUUACGCUAAUACCGCAUACGGCCUACGGGUGAAAGCAGGGGAUCUUCGGACCUUGCGCGAUUGAAUGAGCCGAUGUCGGAUUAGCUAGUUGGCGGGGUAAAGGCCCACCAAGGCGACGAUCCGUAGCUGGUCUGAGAGGAUGAUCAGCCACACUGGAACUGAGACACGGUCCAGACUCCUAAGGGAGGCAGCAGAGGGGAAUAUUGGACAAUGGGCGCAAGCCUGAUCCAGCCAUACCGCGUGGGUGAAGAAGGCCUUCGGGUUGUAAAGCCCUUUUGUUGGGAAAGAAAAGCAGCAGGUUAAUACCCCGCUGUUCUGACGGUACCCAAAGAAUAAGCACCGGCUAACUUCGUG
rnacentral:rRNA from 1 species